rnacentral:lncRNA from 1 species
CACUGGGAGAGUUUAUGUUAACACCACUGGGAGAGUUUAUGUUAACACCACUGGGAGGUUUACUUUAUGUUAACACCACUGGGAGAGUUUAUGUUAACACCACUGGGAAAGUUUACUUUAUGUUAACACCACUGGGAGAGUUUAUGUUAACACCACUG